GAUCCCCAAUUCAUCUCUUCUUCUUCUUCUCUCCCAAGUUCUAAUCAUAGGAGGUAUCUAAAGAUUUUUAACCCCCAAAUUUCAUAUAGGGUUUAUAAAAAAAUUAACAACACUCUCUUUUUAGUAAUUCUUUUCAUCUUAAAUUCAUUAUUGUAUUAAAUUCAUUAUUCUUUUCAUCUUAAAUUCAUUAAUCGAACCCAUCAAUCCAAUCAAUGAUUUCAAGCUACUGGAGUAGAUUAUAAAAGAUGAAACUAUCAAAACUUUGAAGUCGUCAAGCAAUCCAAAAUCUCGUUUGGUGGUUCAACCUCAAAUACACCAGCAAAAGAUCCAGCUUGGGAGCAUUGUGAGGCAGCAGACCCUGGUAAGUGAAGACAUGUUUUGAAAUGCAAUUAUUGUGGGAUAGACUUUUCCGGUGGUGUUUAUAGAAUUAAAAAUCAUCUUGCACAUACUAGGAAAGAUGCUAGUCCAUGUAAGAAGGUUCCUCUAGAAGUAAAACAAUUAAUUAUUUCCUACCUUAAAAUUUUUAAAAACAAUAAAGAAAAGUGUGAAGAAUCAGGUGCUUUGGAUUGUGAAGAUGAGUUAGGGGGUAAAGAGAAGUUGAUGAAAGAUGCUUUUGAUAGAACUAAAACACCAAACACAAUUAAUAGCUACUACAAGAAGCCAGGCAGAGAUGAUGCUUGUAUAGCUAUAUGACUUUUUUUUUGCAAAUGCGGUGCCUCUCAAUGCAUAGUAAUAAUGUGCAUGAAUGUUUUCAAAUUACUGAGGCCGAAGCAAAUAAGAAGAAACGGAAAAGAGGUAUGAAAAUGCAUAGUAAUAAUGUAUAUCAUUUGGUUUUAUACAUUAGAAUAUACUUUAUGCGAUACAACUUUGUGACUUUAAUAGACAGCAUCAAUAGCAUCAAUGUAGCUUGGUAAUUAUUUUACAAAACUGGAGAUAUUGCAAUUUUUUGCCAUUAAAUAUUUGUAUAUAUCGACUGUGAUACAUCUUUGUUGUAAGACCGAGGAACCUAAGUACAAUGGAACUUGCACAAGUUAAAGGGAGCAGCAAAGAGAAGGAAAUAAGACUUGUGGAUGCAGAUGAAAUGCAAGAAGUUGAAGAGGAUGAUAUAGAAGGAGACUAUAUGGAAGAAAUGGAAGAUUUUGAGAGAACUGAAACUCAAAUGCAAGCAGAAAGUGAUAUGAAUGGAUUUCUGAUGAUGGUUGUGAUCUGGGAGCUUGAUGACUGUUUAGAUGAACCUAUUUUGGUGGUUAGUAGUAGUGGGCAAUUGACAUAUAGGUAGUUGUCGCCUUAUCGGCAUAUAUAUUUUGUAAUCAAAGGUUCAGAUACUUUAACAUGAAAACAUAUACUUUUUGGGUAGUUAGAUACGAGAAUUAGAAGCAUAUUUGUGGAUAUAAUCAAAGGUUAACUUAGAAGCUAUAUUUUGUAAAGUGAAAAUUGACUGUUAUAUCAUGUAUGACGAGUCUGUGACACUUGACUCAGUUAAUGAAGUUUAUAUUUUGGGGUUUCA